rnacentral:rRNA from 1 species
UACGAAGGGGGCUAGCGUUGUUCGGAAUUACUGGGCGUAAAGCGCACGUAGGCGGAUACUUAAGUCAGGGGUGAAAUCCCGGGGCUCAACCCCGGAACUGCCUUUGAUACUGGUAGUCUUGAGUUCGAGAGAGGUGAGUGGAAUUCCGAGUGUAGAGGUGAAAUUCGUAGAUAUUCGGAGGAACACCGGUGGCGAAGGCGGGUCUCUGGGCCAUUACUGACGCUGAGGAGCGAAAGCGUGGGGAGCGAACAGG